rnacentral:rRNA from 1 species
GGCGAACGCUGGCGGCAGGCCUAACACAUGCAAGUCGAACGGAUCCUUCGGGAUUAGUGGCGGACGGGUGAGUAACACGUGGGAACGUGCCCUUUGGUUCGGAACAACUCAGGGAAACUUGAGCUAAUACCGGAUGUGCCCUUCGGGGGAAAGAUUUAUCGCCAUUGGAGCGGCCCGCGUCUGAUUAGCUAGUUGGUGAGGUAAAGGCUCACCAAGGCGACGAUCAGUAGCUGGUCUGAGAGGAUGAUCAGCCACAUUGGGACUGAGACACGGCCCAAACGCCUACGGGAGGCAGCAGUGGGGAAUCUUGCGCAAUGGGCGAAAGUCUGACGCAGCCAUGCCGCGUGAAUGAUGAAGGUCUUAGGAUUGUAAAAUUCUUUCACCGGGGACGAUAAUGACGGUACCCGGAGAAGAAGCCCCGGCUAACUUCGUGCCAGCGCCGCCGUAACAC